rnacentral:rRNA from 1 species
UUAAGCGACUAAGCGUACACGGUGGAUGCCCUGGCAGUCAGAGGCGAUGAAGGACGUGCUAAUCUGCGAUAAGCGUCGGUAAGGUGAUAUGAACCGUUAUAACCGGCGAUUUCCGAAUGGGGAAACCCAGUGUGUUUCGACACACUAUCAUUAACUGAAUCCAUAGGUUAAUGAGGCGAACCGGGGGGAACUGAAACAUCUAAGUACCCCGAGGAAAAGAAAUCAACCGAGAUUCCCCCAGUAGCGGCGAGCGAACGGGGAGGAGCCCAGAGCCUGAAUCAGUGUGUGUGUUAGUGGAAGCGUCUGGAAAGGCGCGCGAUACAGGGUGACAGCCCCGUACACAAAAAUGCACAUGCUGUGAGCUCGAUGAGUAGGGCGGGACACGUGGUAUCCUGUCUGAAUAUGGGGGGACCAUCCUCCAAGGCUAAAUACUCCUGACUGACCGAUAGUGAACCAGUACCGUGAGGGAAAGGCGAAAAGAACCCCGGCGAGGGGAGUGAAAAAGAACCUGAAACCGUGUACGUACAAGCAGUGGGAGCACAGAGCAAUCUGUGUGACUGCGUACCUUUUGUAUAAUGGGUCAGCGACUUAUAUUCUGUAGCAAGGUUAACCGAAUAGGGGAGCCGAAGGGAAACCGAGUCUUAACUGGGCGUUAAGUUGCAGGGUAUAGACCCGAAACCCGGUGAUCUAGCCAUGGGCAGGUUGAAGGUUGGGUAACACUAACUGGAGGACCGAACCGACUAAUGUUGAAAAAUUAGCGGAUGACUUGUGGCUGGGGGUGAAAGGCCAAUCAAACCGGGAGAUAGCUGGUUCUCCCCGAAAGCUAUUUAGGUAGCGCCUCGUGAAUUCAUCUCCGGGGGUAGAGCACUGUUUCGGCAAGGGGGUCAUCCCGACUUACCAACCCGAUGCAAACUGCGAAUACCGGAGAAUGUUAUCACGGGAGACACACGGCGGGUGCUAACGUCCGUCGUGAAGAGGGAAACAACCCAGACCGCCAGCUAAGGUCCCAAAGUCAUGGUUAAGUGGGAAACGAUGUGGGAAGGCCCAGACAGCCAGGAUGUUGGCUUAGAAGCAGCCAUCAUUUAAAGAAAGCGUAAUAGCUCACUGGUCGAGUCGGCCUGCGCGGAAGAUGUAACGGGGCUAAACCAUGCACCGAAGCUGCGGCAGCGACACUGUGUGUUGUUGGGUAGGGGAGCGUUCUGUAAGCCUGUGAAGGUGUGCUGUGAGGCAUGCUGGAGGUAUCAGAAGUGCGAAUGCUGACAUAAGUAACGAUAAAGCGGGUGAAAAGCCCGCUCGCCGGAAGACCAAGGGUUCCUGUCCAACGUUAAUCGGGGCAGGGUGAGUCGACCCCUAAGGCGAGGCCGAAAGGCGUAGUCGAUGGGAAACAGGUUAAUAUUCCUGUACUUGGUGUUACUGCGAAGGGGGGACGGAGAAGGCUAUGUUGGCCGGGCGACGGUUGUCCCGGUUUAAGCGUGUAGGCUGGUUUUCCAGGCAAAUCCGGAAAAUCAAGGCUGAGGCGUGAUGACGAGGCACUACGGUGCUGAAGCAACAAAUGCCCUGCUUCCAGGAAAAGCCUCUAAGCAUCAGGUAACAUCAAAUCGUACCCCAAACCGACACAGGUGGUCAGGUAGAGAAUACCAAGGCGCUUGAGAGAACUCGGGUGAAGGAACUAGGCAAAAUGGUGCCGUAACUUCGGGAGAAGGCACGCUGAUAUGUAGGUGAAGUCCCUCGCGGAUGGAGCUGAAAUCAGUCGAAGAUACCAGCUGGCUGCAACUGUUUAUUAAAAACACAGCACUGUGCAAACACGAAAGUGGACGUAUACGGUGUGACGCCUGCCCGGUGCCGGAAGGUUAAUUGAUGGGGUCAGCGCAAGCGAAGCUCUUGAUCGAAGCCCCGGUAAACGGCGGCCGUAACUAUAACGGUCCUAAGGUAGCGAAAUUCCUUGUCGGGUAAGUUCCGACCUGCACGAAUGGCGUAAUGAUGGCCAGGCUGUCUCCACCCGAGACUCAGUGAAAUUGAACUCGCUGUGAAGAUGCAGUGUACCCGCGGCAAGACGGAAAGACCCCGUGAACCUUUACUAUAGCUUGACACUGAACAUUGAGCCUUGAUGUGUAGGAUAGGUGGGAGGCUUUGAAGUGUGGACGCCAGUCUGCAUGGAGCCGACCUUGAAAUACCACCCUUUAAUGUUUGAUGUUCUAACGUGGACCCGUGAUCCGGGUUGCGGACAGUGUCUGGUGGGUAGUUUGACUGGGGCGGUCUCCUCCUAAAGAGUAACGGAGGAGCACGAAGGUUGGCUAAUCCUGGUCGGACAUCAGGAGGUUAGUGCAAUGGCAUAAGCCAGCUUGACUGCGAGCGUGACGGCGCGAGCAGGUGCGAAAGCAGGUCAUAGUGAUCCGGUGGUUCUGAAUGGAAGGGCCAUCGCUCAACGGAUAAAAGGUACUCCGGGGAUAACAGGCUGAUACCGCCCAAGAGUUCAUAUCGACGGCGGUGUUUGGCACCUCGAUGUCGGCUCAUCACAUCCUGGGGCUGAAGUAGGUCCCAAGGGUAUGGCUGUUCGCCAUUUAAAGUGGUACGCGAGCUGGGUUUAGAACGUCGUGAGACAGUUCGGUCCCUAUCUGCCGUGGGCGCUGGAGAACUGAGGGGGGCUGCUCCUAGUACGAGAGGACCGGAGUGGACGCAUCACUGGUGUUCGGGUUGUCAUGCCAAUGGCACUGCCCGGUAGCUAAAUGCGGAAGAGAUAAGUGCUGAAAGCAUCUAAGCACGAAACUUGCCCCGAGAUGAGUUCUCCCUGACCCUUUAAGGGUCCUGAAGGAACGUUGAAGACGACGACGUUGAUAGGCCGGGUGUGUAAGCGCAGCGAUGCGUUGAGCUAACCGGUACUAAUGAACCGUGAGGCUUAACCU